rnacentral:rRNA from 1 species
UACGGAGGGGACUAGCGUUGUUCGGAAUUACUGGGCGUAAAGGGCGCGUAGGCGCCUCUGCAAGUCGACUGUGAAAUCUCCGGGCUUAACCCGGAACGGUCAGCCGAUACUGCAGGGCUAGAGUGCAGAAGGGGCAACCGGAAUUCUCGGUGUAGCGGUGAAAUGCGUAGAUAUCGAGAGGAACAUCAGUGGCGAAGGCGGCCAUCUGGGACAACACUGACGCUGAAGCACGAAAGCGUGGGGAGCAAACAGG